rnacentral:rRNA from 1 species
GAGUUUGAUCAUGGCUCAGGAUGAACGCUGGCGGCGUGCCUAACACAUGCAAGUCGAACGGAGAUGAGCUGAUAUUUCGGAUGGAUGCCCAUCUUAGUGGCGGACGGGUGAGUAACGACGUGAGGAACCUAGCCUUACACAGGGGAAUAACACCGUGAAAACGGUGCUAAUACCGCAUAACACCGCACUAUGGCAUCAUAGAGCGGUCAAAGGAGAAAUCCGGUGUAAGAUGGCCUCGCGCCCGAUUAGUUAGUUGGUGGGGUAAUGGCCUACCAAGACUGCGAUCGGUAGCCGGACUGAGAGGUCGAACGGCCACAUUGGAACUGAGAGACGGUCCAGACUCCGUACGGGAGGCAGCAGUGGGGAAUAUUGGGCAAAAUGGGGGGAAACCCUGACCCAGCAACGCCGCGUGAAGGAAGAAGGCCUUCGGGUUGUAAACUUCUUUGAUCAGGGAAGAAACAAAUGACGGUACCUGAAAAACAAGCCACGGCUAACUACGUGCCAGCAGCCGC